ACAAAAAUUCCGCUGAGAUAAGGAAAAGUUACAAAUUCACAUUCAUGGCGUGUCAACAAUUACUGAUAUUCAUCUGUUUAACAGGUAUAUUUCAUAAUAAUUAUUCCCGCUAAAGUUAUUCAACUACAAACAAUAUCUUUUUAGACUAAUAUGAUCACUUAAGAAACGUGAUUCACAUAAUAAUGGUUCUAAUUUUUUAUCGAGGAACUGUGCAGCUGUGUUGUCCUGAUGGCUGGAGAAAGGGAAAGAACUCCUGUUACUAUAUAGGUACAUCUUUAAAGACCUGGGUGGAAGCAUCUGGUAUUUGUCAAGCUUUUCACAGCGAACUAGUUGUGAUCAAUGACGCAGAAGAAAAUUUUCUCCUUAAGAAGAUAAUCACCAAUAUCAAAGGUGCAUUUUCUACGAACUUUUGGAUGGACGGUUCUGAUCAAAUCACAGAAGGACUGUGGGUCUGGGCAUCAACGAUGGAAACAAUAAGGUACACAAACUGGGAACAAGGUGAACCCAACAACUACAUUGGAAUUGCUGAGGACUGUCUGGAGCUCUAUCUGUCUAAUUUCAAGUGGAACGAUAUACGCUGUACACACGCCAACCAUUUUAUAUGCGAAAAAGAACUCACAACACAAGAUCAAGUAGGAGAACUUGUUGGAAAAAGAUAAAUGGCAGUUAAAUUUAUUAAGGAAAACAAUGCAAUAAAUUAUUUGUGAUCUCUGC
rnacentral:misc_RNA from 1 species